rnacentral:rRNA from 1 species
AACGUAGGAGGCGAGCGUUAUCCGGAGUUACUGGGCGUAAAGCGCGUGUAGGUGGUCUGUUACGUCUGCUGUGAAAUGUCCCGGCUCAACCGGGACUAGGCGGUAGAUACGGGCAGACUAGAGGGUGACAGAGGAGCGUAGAAUUCCGGGUGUAGUGGUGAAAUGCGUAGAGAUCCGGAAGAAUACCAGUGGCGCAAGCGGCGCUCUGGGUCGAGCCUGACACUGAGACGCGAAGGCAUGGGGAGCGAACGGG